ensembl:snRNA U6 U6 spliceosomal RNA
GUGCUCACUUCGGCAGCACAUAUACUAAAAUGGGAACAAUACAGAGAAGAUUAACAUGGUCCCUGCACAAGGAGGCUUGCAAACUCAUAAAGUCUUCCAUAUUUAA